rnacentral:rRNA from 1 species
AUGGAGGCGUGGCGGCGGUUGGUGCGCGUCCAGGCGGGCGGAGGUCGGCUGGCUUGCUUGCUCCGCCGUGUGACAGCGCGGGCGGCCGCCCUGCAUUGGUUGGUGGUGGCGGCGGCGCGGUGGUGGUCUGCCAUGAUCGUCUCCUCCUCGAGGUGGUGGCUCAUGGCGGUGGUGCGGGUCGUUCACGGCAGCGGCCCGUCGGUGUGCGGCCUGUGUGGACCUUCAAUCCUUCUCUUUGGGCGUCCGUCCGCUAUCUUCAUCGACGGUUGGCCCUCCGCCAGUGACGGUCCAUCACUCGUCUCCCACCCGCAGCAGGACCGAGCUUGUCUCGCGCUCGGCAGCAGGACCGAGCCUGUCUCGCGCCCGGCAGCAGGACCAUGCUCGUCUCGCGCCAGGCAGCAGGACCGAGCUCGUCUCGCGCCCAGUGCCGAGGACGGGGUGAUGGAGGCUAGCCUCGGCUAG